UAGUAACUGCGAGUGAAGCGGGAAAAGCUCAAAUUUAAAAUCUGGUGGUCUUUAGCCAUCCGAGUUGUAAUUUAGAGAAGCAUCUUCCGCGCUGGACCGUGCACAAGUCUCCUGGAAUGGAGCGUCAUAGAGGGUGAGAAUCCCGUCUUUGGCACGGACAUGUCAGUGCUUUUGUGAUGUGCUCUCAAAGAGUCGAGUUGUUUGGGAAUGCAGCUCAAAAUGGGUGGUGAACUCCAUCUAAAGCUAAAUAUUGGCGAGAGACCGAUAGCGAACAAGUACCGUGAGGGAAAGAUGAAAAGCACUUUGGAAAGAGAGUGAAACAGUACGUGAAAUUGUUGAAAGGGAAACGCUUGAAGUCAGUCGUGUUGACCAAGACUCAGCCUUGCCUUGGCUUGGUGUAAUUCUUGGCUGACAGGCCAGCAUCAAUUUUGUCUCUUGGAUAAUGGUAAGGGAAAUGUGACACCUUUAUGGUGUGUUAUAGUCUCUUGUCGCAUGCAAGGGUUGAGAUUGAGGAACUCAGCAUGCACCUUUUAGGUGUUGGGGCUUUGCCCACAAUACGUGCUUAGGAUGUUGGCAUAAUGGCUUUAAACGACCCGUCUUGAAA
rnacentral:rRNA from 1 species